rnacentral:tRNA from 1 species
GCCUGGGUGGCUCAGUUGGUUAAGCAUCCGACUUCGGCUUGGAUCAUGAUCUUGCGGUUCAUGGGUUCGAGCCCCGUGUCAGGCU